rnacentral:rRNA from 1 species
UACAGAGGGUGCGAGCGUUGUUCGGAAUUACUGGGCGUAAAGCGCGCGCAGGCGGCUCUUUAAGUCUCAGGGUCAAAGACCGGGGCUCAACCCCGUGUUCGCCCGGGAUACUGGAGAGCUAGGGACAUGUAGGGGCGAGCGGAAUUCCGGGUGUAGCGGUGGAAUGCGUAGAGAGUCCGGAAGAACACCGGGGCGAAGGCG